GGGUCGUAAAGCUCUGUCCUCAAGGAAGAUAAUGACGGUACUUGAGGAGGAAGCCCCGGCUAACUACGUGCCAGCAGCCGCGGUAAUACGUAGGGGGCUAGCGUUAUCCGGAAUUACUGGGCGUAAAGGGUGCGUAGGUGGUUUCUUAAGUCAGAGGUGAAAGGCUACGGCUCAACCGUAGUAAGCCUUUGAAACUGGGAAACUUGAGUGCAGGAGAGGAGAGUGGAAUUCCUAGUGUAGCGGUGAAAUGCGUAGAUAUUAGGAGGAACACCAGUCGCGAAGGCGGCUCUCUGGACUGUAACUGACACUGAGGCACGAAAGCGUGGGGAGCAAACAGGAUUAGAUACCCUGGUAGUCCACGCCGUAAACGAUGAGUACUAGCUGUCGGAGGUUACCCCCUUCGGUGGCGCAGCUAACGCAUUAAGUACUCCGCCUGGGAAGUA
rnacentral:rRNA from 1 species